UUUGAAUGGCUGGAAAAAAAAUAUUUCUCCAAAGUCAGACUUGGAGAUGGCAGACUUGUAGAUGCAACGGGCAAAGGAGCAGUUGCUGUUCAAACUCCCUCAGGUAUGAAGAUUAUAUCUGAUGUAUUAUUUGUUCCUGAAAUUAGCCAAAGUCUUCUCAGUGUUGGCCAAUUGCUUGAUAAAAAUUAUGCCCUGUUAUUUAAAGAUAAAACAUGUGAAAUCAUGGAUCCAACUGGUAUAAAAUUGCUCUCAGUCAAAAUGAACAACAGAAGCUUCCCUCUUGAUUGGAAACAUACCGACAUUGGAGCUUAUGUCAGCAUUCAAGAUGAAACUUAUGUCUGGCAUAAGAGGCUUGGUCACAUCAAUUUUAAAUCUUUAAAAUUGAUGCAAAAUAAGGAUCUUGUGGCAGAUAUGCCUUCCAUAAAUGAAACCUCUAAUGUAUGUGGGGUUUGUCAAAUCACUAUUUCCUAUUAAUCAAGCCUGGAGAGCUACUGAAAAGCUCCAACUAAUACACACUGAUUUGUGUGGACCUAUGAGCACUCCUUCUUAUAACGGCAACAAAUAUUUUCUUUUAUUCAUUGAUGACCUUACGAGGUUUUGUUUGGUUUACUUUCUGAAACAUAAAUAUGAAGUAUUUGUUGCGUUUCAAAGGUUUAAAGCAACUGUUGAAAACCAAUGUGGCUCUUUGAUAAAAAUCUUAAGGUCUGAUAAUGGGACCGAGUUCACUUCCAAUCAAUUCAAGGAUUUUCUUCAGAAAGCAGGAAUUCAUCAUCAACUUACAGUCACUUACACACCACAACAAAACAGUGUAAGUGAAAGAAAAAAUAGGUCCAUUAUAAAUAUGGCUCGGUGUCUUCUGUUUGAGAAAGGUCUGCGUAAGGUGCUAUGGGCUGAAGCUGUAAAUGCCGCUGUCUAUCUACAAAAUAGAUUGCCGACGAGAACUGUUGAAGGAAAGACUCCAUACGAAGCAUGGAUUGGAACCAAGCCAUCAGUUGCUCAUCUUAAAGGAUUUGACUGUAUCUCUUACUCUUAUAUUCCUGACGUUAAACGGGAUAAACUUGAUCAAAGAGUUGAAGUUGGAAUAUUUUUGGGAUACAACAGCACUUCUAAAGGAUAUAGAAUUUUAAAUCCUAUUUCACAACAAAUCCAUGUAAGUAGAAGUGUUAAAUUUGAUGAGGAUGCUGCAUGGGACUGGAAGAAGAUGGUUGUUUCUUCUUUCCAGAUCACUAAUCAAGAAUAAAGUGCCCAAGAAGAAGAGUUGAUUCUAGAAGAAGAGGAGGACUCUGAUGAUUUUGCAGUAAGAUGUACCAGAUCCAUUGAAGAUAUAUAUAGCAGAUGCAAUGUCGCUAUGUUGGAGCCAACAAAUGUAGACAAUGCAUUGCAAAUUCCCGAAUGGAGGGCAGCCAUGGAGGAGGAGCUCAAUAUGAUUAACAAGAAUAAUACAUAGGUACUUGUACCUAGACCUCCUGACAAGCAGGCUCUUGGAACUAAAUGGGUGUUCAAGAUUAAACUGAAUUCAAAUGGCACACUCAACAAGUACAAAGCAAGGCUAGUUGUAAAGGGGUAUGCGCAACAGCAUGGAAUUGAUUUUCAUGAAACCUUUGCACCAGUUGCAAGGUUUGAUACCAUUAGAUUGCUACUUACAGUUGCAGCACACCAAGGUUGGCAAGUAUUUCAAUUGGAUGUUAAGUCUGCCUUCCUUAAUGGGUACCUUGAAGAGAAAAUUUAUGUAGAGCAGCCUGAAGGUUUUAGAGGACCGGGUAUAUUUGUUAAGAAAAGCUCUUUAUGGCUUGAAACAGGCACCUAGGGCCUGGUAUGCACGGAUCGAUAGCUACUUACUGAAUUUGGGGUUUAAGAGAAGCUGCAAUGAAACAACCCUGUAUAUUAGACUUCAAAGUGAUGAUUUUCUCGUAGUUUCUCUCUAUGUUGAUGAUCUGUUGGUGACUAGCAGCAGCACACAGUCUAUCAAAGACUUCAGGGAGCAAAUGAAGAAGGUCUUUGAAAUGAAUGAUCUGGGAAAAAUGACUUAUUUCUUGGGAAUGGAGGUUAAUUAAUCUUCUCAAGGAAUCUUUGUUUCUCAGAAGAAAUAUGCUACCGAAAUAUUGAUGAAGUUUUGUCUUGACAAAUGCAAACCAGUAAGUACCCUUGCAGUUCAAGGAAAGAAACUGAUGAAUGAGGAUGAGUCUGGUUUGGUCGAUGCUUUAAUUUAUAGAAGUUUGAUUGGUUCCCUGUUGUAUUUAUCAGACACAAGGCCUGAUAUUAUGUAUGCAACAAGUGUGCUAUUAAGGUUUAUGCAUUUACCAACUGAAAUUCACCUCAGAGCAGCCAAAAGAAUUUUGAGGUACAUUCGAGGCACCAUUGAUUAUGGUGUGUUUUAUAAAAGAACCAUAUCUAUGAAAUUAUUGGGGUUUACUGAUAGUGACUGGGCUGGGUCGCAAGACGACAUGAAAAGCACUUCAGGAUAUUGUUUCACUCUCGGAUCAGGUGUCAUUUGCUGGUGCACAAAGAAGCAAGGGUCCGUGGCUCAAUCAACAGCUGAAACAGAGUACGUUGCUGCCUCCGGUGCUGUUAAUCAAGCUCUAUGGUUGAGAAAAAUCUUGAUUGACUUGGGGUUUCAUCCAAGCAAAGCAACUGAAGUCCUUUGUGAUAACAAAUCUGCUGUUGCCAUGGUAAAGAAUCCAGUCUUUCAUGGAAAGACUAAACACAUUAAAAUCAAAUACCAUUCCAUUCGAGAAGCUGAAAGGGAAAAUGAAGUUCAUAUUAUGUAUUGUUGUGGUGAAAAUCAACUAGCUGAUAUAUUUUUACCAAGGCACUGCAGAAACAAAGAUUUGAGCUUCUUAGAGCUAAGCUUGGAGUAUCCAACAACACUUGCAUCAAGGAGGAGUGAUGAAGGUUGUUGUUUUUGUAUGUGAUGCUAAGUGCUGUCAUGUUAGUACUUUUGUCUUGAUAUUUUUGGUAUAACUUUUGAAUUAAUUUUAAUACAAAGUUCUAGAAUGUAGAAGAUAUUGUAAUAUGUGGUGGAUCUUUAUUUAAGCACAAAAUAGGGAGACAGUUUCCAGGAUUUAAGGGAUUUGACACCACCUUAUGUAUCUAUAUAUGUGUAAGCUUUUGCUGAAUGAAACGAUCUGC
rnacentral:lncRNA from 1 species